rnacentral:ncRNA from 1 species
GUUCUCAGGGCGGGGUGGAAGUCCCCACCGGCGGUAAUCACCUUUAGUCUUUUUGAUUGGGUGUAGCCCGCGGGCGCCUGUUGGCAGGUUCAACAGGGACAGCAGACUCGGUGUGAUUCCGAGGCCGACGGUUAAAGUCCGGUUAUGAGAAUA